CCUACGGGGGGCAGCAGUAGGGAAUAUUGCUCAAUGGGGGAAACCCUGAAGCAGCAACGCCGCGUGGAGGAUGAAGGUUUUCGGAUUGUAAACUCCUUUUGUUAGAGAAGAGAAUUACGGUACCUAACGAAUAAGCACCGGCCAACUCCGUGCCAGCAGCCGCGGUAAUACGGAGGGCGCAAGCGUUAUUCGGAACUACUGGGCGUAAAGGGCGCGUAGGCGGGAUGGCAAGUCAGAUGUGAAAUCCUGUGGCUUAACCGUAGAACUGCAUUUGAAACUGUUAUUCUAGAGUAUGGGAGAGGUAGGUGGAAUUCUUGGUGUAGAGGUGAAAUCCGUAGAGAUCAAGAGGAAUACUCAUUGCGAAGGCGGCCUGCUAGAACAUAACUGACGCUGAUGCGCGAAAGCGUGGGGAGCAAACAGGAUUAGAUACCCUGGUAGUC
rnacentral:rRNA from 1 species